UACAGGGGGGGCAAGCGUUGUUCGGAAUUACUGGGCGUAAAGGGCGCGUAGGCGGCCAGCACAAGUCAGUUGUGAAAUCUCCGAGCUUAACUCGGAAAGGUCAACUGAUACUGUGCGGCUAGAGUGCGGAAGGGGCAACUGGAAUUCUUGGUGUAGCGGUGAAAUGCGUAGAUAUCAAGAGGAACACCUGCGGCGAAGGCGGGUUGCUGGGCCGACACUGACGCUGAGGCGCGAAAGCCAGGGGAGCGAACGGG
rnacentral:rRNA from 1 species